UGCAAGUCCUGGUAAGAUUGCUUGCUGAAGAAUAAUCAUAGUAUUGGUACAGAAGAGAAUGGACAAACAUACAGGACAAACGAUGUUAGAAACAUCAUUGCCUCUUCGAGCACCGAAUGCAUUGAUCAAAAAAUUUAAAUGGUUUACGCAACAAAGAGGACUAUCGAUGAAUGGGAAGAGAACUAUUUGAAUAUAGAUCGAACUUUCUUGACUGAAAGAUUUUGUGAUUGGUGGAACAGAAUAUAUAAACAUGGGUACUAUGCAAGUUGAAUAUCACAUCGCUACAAAGAAAAUGUACACAUCAGCAUGGAUAGUGGUCGCAUUGACGAUUCAUCUUGGUGUUGCUACUGAAGACCAAUUUGCAUCUACCUUCAAUCUUGUUUCAAACCCUGGUAACGUUGACGCAGAUGGUGGAAGCAGCUCAAUCAUUAUCCAAAAAGCUUUUCACCAAUGCAGUAUCGAUCCAAACUGCAAAUUUGUGGUGGAGAAUCUGAGCACAAAUGAAUUCUUGGAAUUUUCAUCAGAAGAAGCUUUGCCUGAAAACCGGGAUAUGCUGAAAAUCUGGGAAAAACGAAUCAUGUAAAAGAGCACACUGUAUAAAAGCAUAAUAUUUAAAAUUAACUUCGAUGAUGAUAUGAUACUUUAGUAAGAUUUUAUUAAAGUCGUAAGAACAGGACGUUCACAAAACGUAAUAUCUGCACUAACAUAACCAUGGAAACAUAAAGACAGCAAUGCAAGGAUAAGAUACUGUCAUGUUUUUUAUUUUCAAUGUCACAUUCAUGAGGAAAUCACUAUAUUUCAAUUAUCUUCAUGCGUUGUGUACUUUGAUUUUGUACGAACUUUCAGAAUGAUGUUUCCUUAAACCA